UAGAGUUUGAUCAUGGCUCAGAUUGAACGCUGGCGGCAGGCCUAACACAUGCAAGUCGCAGCGGCAGCGGGAAAGUAGCUUGCUACUUUUGCCGGCGAGCGGCGGACGGGUGAGUAAUGCCUGGGGAUCUGCCCAGUCGAGGGGGAUAACAGUUGGAAACGACUGCUAAUACCGCAUACGCCCUACGGGGGAAAGGAGGGGACCUUCGGGCCUUUCGCGAUUGGAUGAACCCAGGUGGGAUUAGCUAGUUGGUGGGGUAAUGGCUCACCAAGGCGACGAUCCCUAGCUGGUCUGAGAGGAUGAUCAGCCACACUGGAACUGAGACACGGUCCAGACUCCUACGGGAGGCAGCAGUGGGGAAUAUUGCACAAUGGGGGAAACCCUGAUGCAGCCAUGCCGCGUGUGUGAAGAAGGCCUUCGGGUUGUAAAGCACUUUCAGCGAGGAGGAAAGGUUG
rnacentral:rRNA from 1 species